AUAAAUUAAAAACCAUUCAUUGUAUAUUUAAUCGGUUGUCGUUUCUUCUCUUAAUUAAUUAGGCCACUCCAAUACUAUAGUAUCACUUUUAAGAUGUUAUAAUUUCUUUGCUUCUAAAGCAUUGCAAAGACACAUGGAAUCAACUAAUAAUUUCACAGCUAUAUUGUUCUAUCUACAUCGAUUUGUUGCCGGUUUUAACUAUACACAUCCAUCUCAUUUUCAUUAUUCAUAAAUUAAAAAAAAAAACUUACAUCAUAUUUUCUCUUCCAUCGACCACAUUAGAAAAGAAAAAAAAAACGAACAAAUGUUUAUCUAAAUUUGGAGAUCCAUCUCCCUCUGACCUCUACCAAUAGCUAAGAUUCAC
rnacentral:lncRNA from 1 species